rnacentral:lncRNA from 1 species
GUAAUUGCCUGUAGUCACAUUGCUAAAUUCAUUGAGAGUUACACAAAAUCCAGAAUAUAUUGUCUGUUCCUAAAUUAUAUAUAUUUAGAUUCUGGAAUUACUAGGAGGAAUUAGAAGUCAUUCAGAUAAAAAUUCAUACUUAACAAGAGUAUCUAGGAAAGAGAUUCAGCCCAUCCCAAUAUUGAGCAGCUUUCCUUAUCAGAAAGUUUUAUUUUCUGUUUCACAGAUUGCUCAUGACCUUUAAUACAUUUUUCUGAAUGAACCCUGGAGGGAGGUGAGAAGUAGCAGUUUUGUUCAUCUCUUCUUUUUGUCCUUUAUCUCUCUGCCACUGUUCUCACCUCAUCCUAAAACCUGGUCAGGAGGGUUUGAAACCUAUCAGAACUAAAGGUUAAUAUCUCAUCUCCCUCAGGCUUUUUUCAUUUAAAAAAAAAAUGGGUAUAUUAGUUAAAUUAGAAUACUUGUUGUAGAAUUAUUGUCAAAGGGGAAGGGAAAUACAUCUAGGGGAAACAUCAUGUCUUUUAGGCCCUUUAUGUCACUGAAUGACUUAAGGCUCGACAAAUGAUAUUCUUGGAAAGUUUAAUCUUGAGGUUUUCAAAUCUUUUUUUUUAAUGUCUCCCAUGUUUCUCAUUUGCUGAUUGAUUCAUUAGUUGCUCUUAGUAAGAUUUGUCAGUUGGAAAUAAUGAAGGCUGAGACUCAUUUCUAAACUCUUCCAUAACCAUCACCAGAAGAGCAGCCACUGUGUUGUGUGAUGUAGGCUAAUGCCUCCCAGAUAGAGGUAAAGUCACAAGGACUAUUAGAAUUCCAGUGGAUUGUGGAACUGGUUUUGGAUUAUCCUUAUAUUUUCAUUCUGAUUACUGAGGCAGUUCUGAAAACUCCUACCAUUGAAAUAGUGGUGUGUCUUUUCCUUGUUUAAGGAUUUUACAUCAUUUUUAUGCACUUGAAUUCCAAAAUCAGAAUCUCUCUUUUACCUAUCAACCUUUAUUGGCUAUUGGCUUUUGGCAAUGACCUUUCUGUUCAAAUGUAGUCCUGUCUCUUUGUUUCCUUAGGGAGUAGAACCUGUCCUUUUUCUCAUCUUUCAUUUUUUUGACGUGUCCUUUCUAAGAGAAGGCUCUCUGCCGCCUGUUCUGGGUGAUAAGUGAUAUUUUCAUCUAAUCGUUAUGUGGUUGGGAUGAUCAUGGUGAAAUACUAGGAAGACAUACUCUGUUGAUGGACUUUUUCUCUCCAAAUAAUCCCAAAUAGAUUAUUUUCUAGUGAAUGGUUUAUAUCUUUCUCGUCACAAAAAUGUUCCUUUGAUUUCUAGCACAAGGUACAGCAGGAUGCAAAUGAUUCUCAGAUAAAAUGAUGUUGACAGUAUUUCCUUAACAAUUUAUGUAAAACUAUGCAUAAUUUUCAUUCUAACUUUUGACAUUUUUCUCCAUAAAUAAAAGUAAUGCCUGAUGUUUAGUUAAAAGU